UGGGAAGUGAUUUAAAUCAAAUCAAAAUCACAUAAAACAAGGUUUUAAAUAGGGAAAGUUAUUUAGGUCAAGCUUCCUACAAGAGCCUAUAAAUAGGAGGUCUCAAGACGAAAGAAAGGGGCAGAGAAAAAACCUAGCACUCAGAAGAAACAGAAAACUCUCUGCAUUCUUCAUCCUACUUUGGAAGAGCCACCAAGCAAAACAAAUGCGUGCCGGUUCCUUCACCAUAGAAAAAUCCCAAACACUAAACAAAAUUCGUGCUACCCAUUUGAUCAAGAUCAAGUCUCUACGACCCUUGUAUCAAACACAAAUUUUCUUUAAACACUUUGGAGAUCAAAUCAGAGGAUUCAAUACAGAGAUUGUAACCCUAAAUUUCAUUAAUACAAUAUUAUUUUGUACACGUGUUCUUGUCUCAUUUGUCGCAGAAAAUUCGUGUUUACAAAUUUGGCACGCCCGGUGGGACAAUCUCUUCCUCUCAUCUCUUUCUCCAGUUCAAAAAUCAAUCAACACACCAAAAACGAUGGCUUCCAAGAAGAUUCAAUCCGUUCCAGUGACGAGAGGCAAAAGCGUGAGCGCCUCCUUCUCAAGUGGAGAUUCUGCUGGGGUUGUCACCCGGAGCAAGGCCAAGGCGAUAUCCGUAACUCGACAUGUCACUUCCAUACCGACUCAAGCCAAGGCGAAAGAUGUGAACCGAAGGCGUGAACCAGUCAUCAAUUUGGCAAAGAAGACUAUCGCUAGAGCGGAUGAGAGAAACUCUUCGAACGAAGAAAAGAGUUUUUCGUGUUGGAAGAAUUCAAGAGAACCCUCACUCUCGCCUGUUUCAGUCUCUGACUCGAGCACAGGUUCAUACCAUGGAUCCCCGCCUGACGACCAACCGAAGAAGAUUGCCUCGGCGUCUGUAGGUGAGUCUUAUUCUAUGGCUAUGCAGGUCAUGGUGACGGGAGCAAUGUCUAUUGAAGAACAGUUGGCCCAUAUGAGCGAAGCGGUCACGAAACUGACGAAGAUGGUCGAAGAGAAGGAUGUGCAGAUUGCUUCUCUCAUUAACCAGUGGGAGACACAUCAAGAUAAGGAACCUAGCCAAGAUAUGCAUAAGAAAGAAUCACAUCAUGAAGCUGAAUCCAGCGAGAAAGGAUUGGGUCAUGAAACAGAGUCGGGUGAUAAGUCGCACGGAAAAGGCGACACAGCCUUGGUGGGUUCUUUAUCUAUCCAACAACUUCAGGACAUGAUCACGAAUUUUUUUUUAUUUUCAUCCAUUUUAUUGUAUUUUAUUUUUAAAACUGUAGAAAUUUUCACUACUCUUCAAUCUAUGAUUUUGGUUGGCAGCCACAGAUCAAUAAUUAACCAAAAUUAGCCUUGGUUCUCCAAGUUCGAAUGUAAUUCGUCCAUCCAUUUAGAGGUGUCAAAUGGUCAGACCGGCCCCGCAAAGCACGAGCUCAUCCCAUUUAAAUAGAAAAUUGAGUUGUAGCCACUGUUUUCCUAGCCACUGCAUCUGAAUGGUGGCCAUUGCUGAUGUAAUAGCCACACACUUACUGUUAAUCUGUGGCACCAAACACAUGGCACGGUAUAUUUGUUGCUGAAAAACAACUAGCCACGGAUGCUGAG
rnacentral:lncRNA from 1 species